GGCUCAGGAUGAACGCUAGCGGUAGGCUUAAUACAUGCAAGUCGUGGGGCAGCAUGAGUAGCAAUACUUGAUGGCGACCGGCAAACGGGUGAGGAACACGUACACAACCUUCCUUCAAGCGGGGAAUAGCCCAGAGAAAUUUGGAUUAAUACCCCAUAAUAUAUUUGAUAAGGCAUCUUAUUAAUAUUAAAGCUUCGGCACUUGAUGAUGGGUGUGCGGCUGAUUAGAUAGUUGGCGGGGUAACGGCCCACCAAGUCUACGAUCAGUAGCUGAUGUGAGAGCAUGAUCAGCCACACGGGCACUGAGACACGGGCCCGACUCCUACGGGAGGCAGCAGUAAGGAAUAUUGGACAAUGGACGAAAGUCUGAUCCAGCCAUGCCGCGUGAAGGAUUAAGGUCCUCUGGAUUGUAAACUUCUUUUAUAUGGGACGAAAAAAGGGCAUUCUUGUUCACUUGACGGUACCAUAUGAAUAAGCACCGGCUAACUCCGUG
rnacentral:rRNA from 1 species